CCUACGGUUGGCAGCAGUGAGGAAUAUUGGUCAAUGGACGAAAGUCUGAACCAGCCAAGUCGCGUGAAGGAAGACGGACCUAUGGAUUGUAAACUUCUUUUAUAGGGGAAUAAAUGGAUGCACGUGUGCAUUUUUGCAUGUACCUUAUGAAUAAGGAUCGGCUAACUCCGUGCCAGCAGCCGCGGUAAUACGGAAGGUCCGGGCGUUAUCCGGAUUUAUUGGGUUUAAAGGGUGCGUAGGUCGUUCUUUAAGCUUGCCGUGAAAUGUUGUGGCUCAACCAUGAGAGUGCGGUGGAAACUGGAGGCCUUGAGUGCGGGUGAGGUAGGCGGAAUGCGUGGUGUAGCGGUGAAAUGCGUAGAUAUCACGAAGAACCCCGAUUGCGAAGGCAGCUUACU
rnacentral:rRNA from 1 species